rnacentral:rRNA from 1 species
UGGGGAAUCUUGCACAAUGGGGGAAACCCUGAUGCAGCGACGCCGCGUGAGCGAUGAAGCCCUCCGGGGUGUAAAGCUCUUUCGGCAGGGAAGAUUAUGACGGUACCUGCAGAAGCAGCUGCGGCUAACUACGUGCCAGCAGCCGCGGUAAUACGUAGGCAGCGAGCGUUGUUCGGAGUUACUGGGCGUAAAGGGUGUGUAGGCGGUUGUUUAAGUUUGGUGUGAAAUCUCCCGGCUCAACUGGGAGGGUGCGCCGAAUACUGAAUGACUUGGAGUGCGGGAGAGGAAAGUGGAAUUCCUGGUGUAGCGGUGAAAUGCGUAGAUAUCAGGAGGAACACCGGUGGUGUAGACGGCUUUCUGGACCGUAACUGACGCUGAGACAUGAAAGCGUGGGUAGCAAACAGGAUUAGAUACCCUGGUAGUCCACGCCCUAAACGAUGCAUAUUUGGUGUGGGCAGUUCAUUCUGUCCGUGCCGGAGCUAACGCGUUAAAUAUGCCGCCUGGGGAGUACAGUCGCAAGGCUGA